rnacentral:lncRNA from 1 species
GCAGUGCCCUUCUGCUUUGUCCUCUCUUUCAUCUGUAAAACGUGUCGCUGCAUGUGUUUACAAAUGCAAGGCAUUGCAAGAUCCCUUGAACUGUGUCCUAGUACAAAAGAGGCUUUGAAACAAGAAGCACGUUGUCAUGGCAUGUUCCAGGCCAGCAGCACCAGACUGAACCAGAUAAUUGCUGUUUCUGCUUUAGCUGUUUCAUUGUGGAAAGAAUGGUAUGAAAAUGCUCUAUCAAGUACUGCUAUGGUAUUUAGUUAGCAAUGCAGGAGAGACAGGAUCAGCAAUGCAGGAGUGACAGAAGCCCCCCAAAAAGGUUGAGAGGCUGCAAACCUUGGAGGAAGAUUUACAGAAAUUGGAGACCAGAGAAUGAAUGCGUCUAUAAAGGAAGUGUGUGGGACUGAAAUAUGUGAUACAGUAUUCUCAUGGUAUGUUCAUGGUCAACAUGUGUCAUUUAGUCACUGGUAGGAGCAGUGGGGAGCGUGGGGAGCUGGCCUGCCACAUGGGAAACUCAGAAUGUGGGUUCUGUACAAUGGCUUGCACCUACAGCAAUCACCGAUCCUCUCUUUGUCUUUGUGACUUCGUCUGUGCAAUGGGUAUACAGCCUAGAUGACAGCAGUGUUAAUGAAUUAAGGGCCUGCAUGUGGCUGGCUUAGGAUACAACAGACAAAAAGGGUAAAGAAACCUUCCUCUCUCUACAGUGGAAGCCCCUGCAUAGGGGUCUGCCCAAUCUAGUCAGGUGUACAGGCAAGACCACCAAGUGUUGAUCCUGCUCCUACUGAAGUCCCCAUUGCUUUUGAUGGGAGCAGGGUCAGGCACUAGGCUAACAAAGCUGGUAGCCUCCUGAUAGCGUGGGAAGGCAUGGAGUGAGCACAGGGCUAUUAGCCUGUUCCAUUCCACACAGAGCUGACCCGGUGCAAUGGGGAAUGCAUGCUUCACUCUUUCAAAAGAUGCCAGAGCUCCUCUUUGUACGGGCUGCCCUGAGGAAUUCUGGCUGAGUCAGGGGGCUUCCGGUGCUGUGAGGCUUUCAUCCGCAUUGUGACUGGUUCCCUUGGGAAAUCUGACCCAUUGUUUUCAGUUCCACUCCUCAUACUACAGUGGCUCAGGCUCCAAAUAUUUAUAAAAUAUAAAGUGUGGUGAGACCCUUGCAAACAAGGAUAGGUACAAAAUAUUAAUUAUUUUCAAACCACCACAUUGCAUAUAACUAACAGUUAAUCUGUUAGGCUACACUUCUUUAUUAUUUUUUUUUUUACAUCCUUAGUUGUUCAGCUAAUGGCCCUCCUCUCUGGGUCUGGCACAGCAAAUGUCACAGUUUAAGCACAAGGAGGGCUAGUUCUAGAUGAUUUUAGGAAUGAAAAAUACAUUGGGCUCCUCAAAGAUGUCUCCCCGGGGAAAAGAUUAAUUGUUUAAAGAAAGUGUGUAACUUAUUGUGUAUUGUGUAAUUGGCACUGUGACUGGGGCUUGGAAAUCUCUGGCAAUCACUCAUGUCAUUGCUGGCUUUUAAUAAAAUAUUAUGGACUGCUUCUUUUUCUGCUAUU